CCUACGGGAGGCAGCAGUGGGGAAUAUUGGACAAUGGGCGCAAGCCUGAUCCAGCAAUGCCGCGUGAGUGAUGAAGGCCUUAGGGUCGUAAAGCUCUUUUACCAGGGAUGAUAAUGACAGUACCUGGAGAAUAAGCUCCGGCUAACUCCGUGCCAGCAGCCGCGGUAAUACGGAGGGAGCUAGCGUUGUUCGGAAUUACUGGGCGUAAAGCGUACGUAGGCGGUUAUUCAAGUCAGAGGUGAAAGCCCGGGGCUCAACCCCGGAACGGCCUUUGAAACUAGGUAGCUAGAAUCUUGGAGAGGUCAGUGGAAUUCCGAGUGUAGAGGUGAAAUUCGUAGAUAUUCGGAAGAACACCAGUGGCGAAGGCGACUGACUGGACAAGUAUUGACGCUGAGGUACGAAAGCGUGGGGAGCAAACAGGAUUAGAUACCCUGGUAGUCCACGCCGUAAACGAUGAUAACUAGCUGUCCGGGCACUUGGUGCCUGGGUGGCGCGNGACUACGACAUUAAGUUAUUCCGUCCGUCGGGUAGGUACGGUCGGCGAGAAGUUAAAACGUUAACGAAAGGAAAGUUAGUACGGUCGUGUAGUUACGUUGUCCGAACGGACGACGACGAGGGAGGAGG
rnacentral:rRNA from 1 species